GUCUACAGCCAUGCCACCCUGAACAAGCCCGAUCCCAUCUGAUCUCAGAAGCUAAGCAGGGUCGGGCCUGGUUAGUUGGAAGGGAAACCACCUAGGAAGACCAGGUGCUGUAGGCA
rnacentral:rRNA from 1 species